ensembl:ncRNA W02B8.8 ncRNA
UAAAUUGAAUGAGUGAUAUCUCUCCGAACUCAUCAUCAUCAUAUUUAUUUAUCUGUGUCUAUUUUUCUUCGUGUUGAGACAAGCCAGAAACACGAGUCAUCAUAACCGAUCGAGUGACAACAUACACAUGC